AUUGAACGCUGGCGGCAGGCCUAACACAUGCAAGUCGAGCGGAAGAAGGGAGCUUGCUCCUGGAUUCAGCGGCGGACGGAUGAGUAAUGCCUAGGAAUCUGCCUGGUAGUGGGGGAUAACGUCCGGAAACGGGCGCUAAUACCGCAUACGUCCUGAGGGCGUAAGUGGGGGAUCUUCGGACCUCACGCUAUCAGAUGAGCCUAGGUCGGAUUAGCUAGUUGGUGGGGUAAAGGCCUACCAAGGCGACGAUCCGUAACUGGUCUGAGAGGAUGAUCAGUCACACUGGAACUGAGACACGGUCCAGACUCCUACGGGAGGCAGCAGUGGGGAAUAUUGGACAAUGGGCGAAAGCCUGAUCCAGCCAUGCCGCGUGUGUGAAGUAGGUCUUCGGAUUGUAAAGCACUUUAAGUUGGGAGGAAGGGCAGUAAGUUAAUACCUUGCUGUUUUGACGUUACCAACAGAAUAAGCACCGGCUAACUUCGUG
rnacentral:rRNA from 1 species